rnacentral:tRNA from 1 species
GCCGACGUAGCUCAGUUGGUAGAGCAACCGCUUCGUAAGCGGUAGGUCCCCGGUUCGAAUCCGGGCGUCGGCU